UACGGAGGGUGCAAGCGUUAAUCGGAAUUACUGGGCGUAAAGCGCACGCAGGCGGUCUGUCAAGUCGGAUGUGAAAUCCCCGGGCUCAACCUGGGAACUGCAUUCGAAACUGGCAGGCUAGAGUCUUGUAGAGGGGGGUAGAAUUCCAGGUGUAGCGGUGAAAUGCGUAGAGAUCUGGAGGAAUACCGGUGGCGAAGACGGCCCCCUGGACAAAGACUGACGCUCAGGUGCGAAAGCGUGGGGAGCAAACAGG
rnacentral:rRNA from 1 species